rnacentral:tRNA from 1 species
AUUUAGGUAGCUUAAUUAAAGCACAUCUCUGAAGAAGAUAAGAUGGGCCUACCCCUAAAUA